rnacentral:rRNA from 1 species
CCUACGGGAGGCAGCAGUGAGGAAUAUUGGUCAAUGGGCGGGAGCCUGAACCAGCCAAGCCGCGUGAGGGAAGAAGGUACAGCGUAUCGUAAACCUCUUUUGUCAGGGAACAAAGGCGGGGACUAGUCCCCGGAUGAGGGUACCUGAAGAAAAAGCAUCGGCUAACUCCGUGCCAGCAGCCGCGGUAAUACGUAGGGGGCGAGCGUUAUCCGGAAUUACUGGGUGUAAAGGGAGCGUAGACGGCGAGGUAAGCCUGAAGUGGAAGCCCGCGGCCCAACCGCGGAACUGCUUUGGGAACUGUUUUGCUGGAGUAUGGGAGGGGUAAGCGGAAUUCCUGGUGUAGCGGUGAAAUGCGUAGAUAUCAGGAGGAACACCGGUGGCGAAGGCGGCUUACUGGACCAUAACUGACGUUGAGGCUCGAAAGCGUGGGGAGCGAACAGGAUUAGAUACCCUAGUAGUC